GCAUUGGCACUUCAGUGGUAGAAUUCUCACCUUCCAUGCGGGAGACCCGGGUUUGAUUCCCAGCCAAUGCA
rnacentral:tRNA from 1 species